GUCAACUACCCCCUUGUGAAUCAGAGAUUCAGAAGGGGGCUUGUAAAAGCCCGAGUUGACUAGCCUGAGUCCUUGUUAUCGGGGACUACGUUCGGCAGAAUGUAGAUAUCUUUGGAUAUAUUCGCCAGUCAAAAACACUAUCGUGCCUCUGUAAAAGCCCUGUGAGGUAGGGGUGGUCAACCAUAUUGUGAAGCCUGCUGAACAUUGGCGAGGCGAAUCUUAC
rfam:Desulfobacter postgatei 2ac9 chromosome, whole genome shotgun sequence.